rnacentral:rRNA from 1 species
UACGUAGGGGGCAAGCGUUGUCCGGAUUUAUUGGGCGUAAAGAGCGUGUAGGCGGCUUGACAGGUCUGCUGUGAAAACUCGAGGCUCAACCUCGAGAUGUCGGCGGAAACCGUCUGGCUAGAGUCCGGAAGAGGAGAGUGGAAUUCCUGGUGUAGCGGUGAAAUGCGCAGAUAUCAGGAAGAACACCUAUGCGAAGGCAGCUCUCUGGGACGUACUGACGCUGAGACGCGAAAGCGUGGGAGCGAACAGGAUAGAAA